UAAAUAAACUGUAGACUGUAC
ensembl:piRNA 21ur-15519 ncRNA